GCAAGAGUCGCCUAGCGGUAUGGCGUCAGCUUCCCAAGCUGAUUACGGCGGGUUCGACUCCCGUCUCUUGCUCCA
rnacentral:tRNA from 1 species